rnacentral:rRNA from 1 species
UCGGGAAUUUUGGGCAAUGGGCGAAAGCCUGACCCAGCAACGCCGCGUGAAGGAUGAAGUAUUUCGGUAUGUAAACUUCGAAAGAAUAGGAAGAAUAAAUGACGGUACUAUUUAUAAGGUCCGGCUAGCUACGUGCCAGCAGCCGCGGUAAUACGUAGGGACCAAGCGUUGUUCGGAUUUACUGGGCGUAAAGGGCGCGUAGGCGGCAAUUCAAGUCAUCUGUGAAAUCUCCGGGCUUAACUCGGAACGGUCAGAUGAUACUGCUUUGCUAGAGUGCAGAAGGGGCAAUCGGAAUUCUUGGUGUAGCGGUGAAAUGCGUAGAUAUCAAGAGGAACACCUGAGGUGAAGACGGGUUGCUGGGCUGACACUGACGCUGAGGCGCGAAAGCCAGGGGAGCAAACGGGAUUAGAUACCCUUGUAGUCCCUGAGCGGGCUGGCAAGGCGCAU